GAUAAACGCUGGCGGCGUGCCUAAUACAUGCAAGUCGAGCGAACAGACGAGGAGCUUGCUCCUUUGACGUUAGCGGCGGACGGGUGAGUAACACGUGGAUAACCUACCUAUAAGACUGGGAUAACUUCGGGAAACCGGAGCUAAUACCGGAUAACAUGUUGAACCGCAUGGUUCAACAGUGAAAGACGGUCUUGCUGUCACUUAUAGAUGGAUCCGCGCCGCAUUAGCUAGUUGGUAAGGUAACGGCUUACCAAGGCAACGAUGCGUAGCCGACCUGAGAGGGUGAUCGGCCACACUGGAACUGAGACACGGUCCAGACUCCUACGGGAGGCAGCAGUAGGGAAUCUUCCGCAAUGGGCGAAAGCCUGACGGAGCAACGCCGCGUGAGUGAAGAAGGUCUUCGGAUCGUAAAACUCUGUUAUUAGGGAAGAACAAAUGUGUAAGUAACUAUGCACGUCUUGACGGUACCUAAUCAGAAAGCCACGGCUAACUACGUG
rnacentral:rRNA from 1 species